rnacentral:lncRNA from 1 species
GGACACUGACAGAUGAGUGGUGUAGUUCUGUGCCUGGGAACCAAACCAGGGCCACCAAAGCAGAGGAUGCUGAACUUAACCACUAGGCCACUGGGACUGGCCCUCUAUCUCUUUACUUUUAAUCUGUGUCUUUAUAUUUAAAGCAGGUUGCUUAUAGAUUGCAUAUCACUGGGUCUUAUUUUUUUAUCCACUCUGUCAAUCUCUGUCUUUUAAUUGGUGUAUUUAAACUAUUCAUAUUUAAAGGGAUGACCUGUAUAGUUGAAUUAAUGUCCAUAAUAUUUGAAUCUCUUCUCUACUUGUUGCACUUGUUCUUUGUUUCUUUUUUGAUCUUUCACUAUCUUUCUACCUUCUUUAGCUUUAAUGGAGCAUUUUUAAUAUUCCAUUUUUUUCUCUCUUAGCAUAUCAAGUAUUCUUUUUUAAAAUUUUUUAAUGAUUGCCCUAGAGUUUGAAAUAUACAUUUACAACUAAUCUAAGUUUAAAAUAGUGUGAUAUCACUUCAUGGGUAGUUCAGAUACUUUAUAAGAGUAUUCGCAAUUCCUUCCUCCCAUCCCUUAUAACAUUGCUGUCAUUCAUUGCACCUUUCCCUAAGCUAUGUUUACUCAGGUUACCCAAUAUAUUGGUGCUGUUAUCAUUUCAACAAAUACAUAUAUUGGAUCAAUUAAAAACUUAAAAUUAAAGGUUUUAGUUUACCUUUAUUUAUUCUUCCUUCAGUGCUCUUCUUUUUUUGUGUAGAUCUCAGUUUCUGACCUGUUUUCCUCUCUCUGAAGAACACCUUUAAUGUUCUUGCAAGGCAGACCUCCUGGCAGAAAAUUCAGUUUUUGUUUGUCUGAGAAAGUCUUUAAAUUCCCUUCACUUUUGAAGGACAAUUUUACUGGAUACAAAAUUCUAGUUUGGCCAAUUUCUAUUGACAUACCUUCAAGAUCGCUGAUUCUUUCCUCUGCCUUGCCCAGUCUACUGGUUGUUUUGUUUAGUCCAGAUCCUUUCCAUCUCUGUAUAAAUUGGAGAAUCAAACUGUCAAUUUCUGAAAAAUUGUAGUGGAAUCUUGAUUGCGAAUUUCAUUGAAUCAAAGGAUCAAUGCACUUCCCAGGCCCUCCACUACGGUGUUGUAUAGAAGUGGUUGGAGAUGUCAGCCUUGAUGUGUUUCUGAUCUUAGAGGAAAGCAUUACAUCUUCCACCAGCAAAUACAAUGUUUCAUCACAGAUACCCUUUAUCAACACAGAUACUACCAAGACUGGAACUGCAGACAGUCUGCUCAUAGCCAGCUGCCUGAAGCCAUUGUCUCCUAAUUCUGCUUAUCCUGGGAUACCAUCCUGAUAGCUCUGCCUGCCCACACUCAGCAAUAUCAUGUCGUUUGUAUACACAACUGCAGAUGACAUGCUGAAUUUUUCCAAAUGCUUUUUCUCUGUCUUUUGAAGAUGUCAUAUGGUUUUCUCCUUUUUUCUAUUAAUAUGGUGAAUUAUAUUCUUUUGUUCACAUGUUAAACCAGAUAGGCUUUAUUUGUUUCUAGGAGAAACCUUAUUUUAUCAUGAUAUGUUAUACUUUUACAUACUGUUGUAGUCAAAUUGCUGAAGUUUUAUUUUAUUUUAUUUUAAAGAAUUUUUAAAUCCCUGUUUACAAGGAAUAUUGAUCUGUGUUUUCUUAUGAUGUCUUUGUCAGGUUUGGGAUUGAAAGUAAUAAAGACUUCCUAAGACAAUUGAGAAGUAGUCCUUCCUCUGUUUUCUGAAAGACAAUGUGUAGAGUUGGAAUUAUUUCUUCUUCAAGUGUUUGAUAGAAUUAACUUAUGAAACCAACUUAACUUCAAGUUUCUUUGUGGGAAGACUUUCUACUAAAAUUGAAUUUCUUUAAUAAUUAGUAAGCUACUAAUAUUUUCUAUUUCUUCCUUGGAUCAGUUUUGGUAAUUUGCAUCUUUCAAGAAAUUUAUCCCUUCCCUCUCUGUUGUCUGAUUUAAUGUCACGAUGUUAUAAUUCAUUCAUGAUUUUAUUAUGUCUUUAGGAUCUUCAGUGAUCUU